rnacentral:rRNA from 1 species
CCCCCAAUCGAUCGGCUGGGUCGACCGUCCCUCAGCGUUGUGGCAACUAUUCGCUAAAGGGUGACGCGGUCGGUCACGCCGUAAAACAAGACCUCAUUUCUAAGGUUGACCUCGGAUCAGGUAGGGAUACCCGCUGAACUUAAGCAUAUCAAUAAGCGGAGGAAAAGAAACCAACAGGGAUUGCCCUAGUAACGGCGAGUGAAGCGGCAACAGCUCAAAUUUGAAAUCUGGCGUCUACGGCGUCCGAGUUGUAAUUUGUAGAGGAUGCUUCUGGGCAGCCACCGGUCUAAGUUCCUUGGAACAGGACGUCAUAGAGGGUGAGAAUCCCGUAUGCGACCGGACAGGCACCCUCCACGUAGCUCCUUCGACGAGUCGAGUUGUUUGGGAAUGCAGCUCUAAAUGGGAGGUAAAUUUCUUCUAAAGCUAAAUACCGGCCAGAGACCGAUAGCGCACAAGUAGAGUGAUCGAAAGAUGAAAAGCACUUUGGAAAGAGAGUUAAAAAGCACGUGAAAUUGUUGAAAGGGAAGCGAUUGCAACCAGACUUGCUCGCGGUGUUCCGCCGGUCUUCUGACCGGUCUACUCGCCGCGUUGCAGGCCAGCAUCGUCUGGGGCCGCCGGAUAAGACUUUGGGAAUGUAGCUCCCUCGGGAGUGUUAUAGCCCAUCGUGAUGCGGUGCGUCCCGGGCGAGGUCCGCGCUUCGGCUAGGAUGCUGGCGUAAUGGUCGUAAUCGGCCCGUCUUGAAACACGGACCAAGGAGUCUAGCAUCUAUGCGAGUGUUCGGGUGUAAAACCCCUACGCGUAAUGAAAGUGAACGGAGGUGGGAACUUUUUGUGCACCAUCGACCGAUCCUGAUGUCUUCGGAUGGAUUUGAGUAAGAGCAUAGCUGUUGGGACCCGAAAGAUGGUGAACUAUGCCUGAAUAGGGUGAAGCCAGAGGAAACUCUGGUGGAGGCUCGCAGCGGUUCUGACGUGCAAAUCGAUCGUCAAAUUUGGGUAUAGGGGCGAAAGACUAAUCGAACCCUCUAGUAGCUGGUUCCUGCCGAUU